AUACAAGCUUCGCAGUUGUCUUCAGAAGUGUUGACAAAUAUUAAAAAUCUUCAACAAUAUGAAGCUCUUCAAGUUCUUAAUCUUCACCAUUUUCUUCUUUCUUGCUUUAACUACCACAAUGGCUGCAGUACAAGGGAAGGGCAAGGGAAAUGGCAAAGGGAAUGAAAAAUGCAUCGAUGAAGUCUGUCAACAAGUUUGUGAACAACAUGAUUACGAGAAUGGAGGAUGCAUUACUCAUGGAGAACAUGCUGGAAAAUGCAUGUGCUAUGAAUAUUUUUAAUAUCACAAUUUCUGCAUAAUUUAUUUGAUGUUUGACCACGCUGUAUGUUGGAAUAAAAUUGUGUUGGUUUGGUAAA